rnacentral:misc_RNA from 1 species
UCCGGUUUGACACCGGCAGUCUCGCUAGAGUACUGGAUUGCUCCGAGCAACUAACGAUAGGGGUUGCGCUCGUUAGAGGACUUAACCCGACACUUCACAGCACGAGCUGACGACAGCCAUGCAGCACCUGUGAUCGUUCCACCCUUGCGGGUGUGGCCCCACUUUCAUGGGGUUAAUCCGACCAUGUCAAACCCAGGUAAGGUUCUUCGCGUUGCCUCGAAUUAAACCACACGCUCCGCUGCUUGUGCGGGCCCCCGCCUAUUCCUUUGAGUUUUAACCUUGCGGCCGUAGUCCCCAGGCGGUGAACUUAAUGCGUUAGCUGCGGCACUGAUCGGGUCAAUCCGACCAACACCUAGUUCACAACGUUUAGGGCGUGGACUAC